GGAUCAACCAGGUAGCAUUCCUCAYNGACGUCGGAUCGGCAUGACCCAAUCCRUGGGGACUCGAUCACGACCGAUACGACCGUCGUUCGCACAUAGCGUAGAACGCUUUUCUUUGUGGGGCAAAUAGAGUCCGAGGUCUCGUGCCCGCCCGAUGUUCCGAAUCCGAGAGUUCGAGCAUCACGCCGUGGGCCGACAUCCCGUGAGCAUAUGUGCGCACGAGAACGGAACGCGACGUUUGCUUUGAGUUCCAUCCCGCACCGCAGCACCGGACGGUGCAGCAGCACAAGGCGGCGAAGGGACAACCUUGUCAAACCAAUGCCUUAACAAUAAGGUACCAACACAGGAAACCGACAUCGGACAAGGCAAUUACGCACUUGAGCCAACAACCGAAGAGGCGCGG
rnacentral:misc_RNA from 1 species